rnacentral:rRNA from 1 species
AUACGGAGGAUGCAAGCGUUAUCCGGAUUUAUAGGGUUUAAAGGGUGCGUAGGCGGGACUUUAAGUCAGUGGUGAAAUCUUGCAGCUUAACUGUAAAAUUGCCAUUGAUACUGAAGUUCUUGAAUAUAGUUGAGGUAGGCGGAAUGUGUAGUGUAGCGGUGAAAUGCAUAGAUAUUACACAGAACACCAAUUGCGAAGGCAGCUUACUAAGCUAUUAUUGACGCUGAGGCACGAAAGCGUGGGUAGCGAACAGGAUUAGAAACCCUAGUAGUCC